GAAAAUGACGGGCAAUUUGUACAUAUUAUUAUAAAUCAAAUUAAAAAUUUAUUUAAUUUUACUAUUAAAUCCAAUUUCAAUUAAAUAUUAAAUUUAAUAUUUCAAUAAUCUAAUUAAUUGUAACUCACUUAAUCUAAUCAAUAUCUACAUUUUGAUUUGAAUUAUUAUAAAUAAUAUUAUAUUCUAAUUAUACAUUUUAAUAUAAUUUAAAACAACAAUACAUAAAACCUAAUUAGUUCUUCCAUUCGUGGAUUAUCAAUUAAUAAACAAGUUCCUCUAAUUAAACCUUAAUACCGCCAAAUUUAAUAAUUUUAAAUUUAUUAAAUUUAUUUAUUAAAUUAUUUGUUUAAUUUAAAUUAAUAGGGUAUCUAAUCCUACUCAUUUUAUUUAACUUACUUAUAUUAAUUUACACUUAAAAUAACAAAAAAUAUUUAAAUUUCACCAUAAUAUUUCUCACUAAAUAAAAUUUUAUAUAUUUAAAUUCAAUUAUUUUAAUUAAUUUUUAUUUA
rnacentral:rRNA from 1 species